GAUGAACGCUGGCGGCGUGCCUAAUACAUGCAAGUCGAGCGAACGGACGAGAAGCUUGCUUCUCUGAUGUUAGCGGCGGACGGGUGAGUAACACGUGGAUAACCUACCUAUAAGACUGGGAUAACUUCGGGAAACCGGAGCUAAUACCGGAUGAUAUUUUGAACCGCAUGGUUCAAAAGUGAAAGACGGUCUUGCUGUCACUUAUAGAUGGAUCCGCGCUGUAUCAGCUAGUUGGUAAGGUAACGGCUUACCAAGGCAACGAUGCAUAGCCGACCUGAGAGGGUGAUCGGCCACACUGGAACUGAGACACGGUCCAGACUCCUACGGGAGGCAGCAGUAGGGAAUCUUCCGCAAUGGGCGAAAGCCUGACGGAGCAACGCCGCGUGAGUGAUGAAGGUCUUCGGAUCGUAAAACUCUGUUAUUAGGGAAGAACAUAUGUGUAAGUAACUGUGCACAUCUUGACGGUACCUAAUCAGAAAGCCACGGCUAACUACGUG
rnacentral:rRNA from 1 species